rnacentral:rRNA from 1 species
UAAUUCUCUAGUGGCGCACGGGUGAGUAACACGUGAGUAACCUGCCCCCGAGAGCGGGAUAGCCCUGGGAAACUGGGAUUAAUACCGCAUAGUAUCGAAAGAUUAAAGCAGCAAUGCGCUUGGGGAUGGGCUCGCGGGCCUAUUAGUUAGUUGGUGAGGUAACGGCUCACCAAGGCGAUGACGGGUAGCCGGUCUGAGAGGAUGUCCGGCCACACUGGAACUGAGACACGGUCCAGACACCUACGGGAGGCAGCAG